rnacentral:rRNA from 1 species
UGGGGAAUAUUGCCCCAUGGGCGAAAGUCUGAUGCAGCCAUGGCGCGUGUGAGCAGAAGGCCUUCGGGUUGUUGACGCUUUCAGCAUCGAGGAACUUGUUGUGUUAAUACCGCCUGGUAUUGACGUUAUGGCAGAAGAAGCACCGGCUAACUCCGUGCCAGCGGCCGCGGUAUUACGGACCUGCAUAGCGUUAAUCGGAAUUACUGGGCGCUGUUUUACGUGGGAGAUUGGUAUCCCCUGAUGUGAAAGCCCCGGGCUCAACCUGGGAAUUGCAUUUUGAACUGGCACGCUAGAGUCCUGAAGAGGGUGGUAGAAUUUCCAGUGUAGCGGUGAAAUGCGUAGAUAUUGGAAGGAAUACCAGUGGCGAAGGCGGCCACCUGGUCAGAGACUGACGCUGAGGUACGAAAGCGUGGGGAGCAAACAGGAUUAGAUACCCUGGUAGUCCACGCCGUAGACGAUGUCAACUAGUUGUUCGUGUCAUUAAGACGUGAGUAACGCAGCUAACGCACUAAGUUGACCGCCUGCAGAGUACGGCCGCAAGGUUA